GCUGGUGUGGCUCAGUGGAGAGAGCGUCAGCCUGCGGACUGAAGGGUCCCGGGUUCAAUUCCCGGUCAGGGCA
rfam:Myotis brandtii contig154222, whole genome shotgun sequence.